GUAUCCUUCUCUCGGAGUGGCAACAUGCGUCUUAUACACAACCACGUGACCACUUUAGUUUUGGAGCUGAAUAAUGCACAGUUUAUAUCGGAAUUUUCUACCAACACGCUUUGAUACAGGGUCCAGUGUUUCAGAUGUGGUACGUGACGAGGUUGUUGGAAACGAGGAUUCGACGGCUCAGCAUCCAAUGGAUUACUGGUGCACAGCUGGGCCGUCGGACUUCGUCCAUGCGGAGGAACGGAUAGCAGCGGCCAAGGUAAGUUAAUACGCCAGCCUUUAAUCGAUCUUAUCAGACCUAACUCGAAGCGACCACUGUAUCCAUAUUAAUCGGUCAAUUAAUUAGCGGGAGCGAAAGCUUGUAAGCAGAUCGUAAAGUUAAUCAAAAAUCGACCACGCGGUUUUACGUGGUUAAAAGUUAAAAGGCUUCGUAAAGUUUAUGUUGCGUCAUCGGGAACGGCUAAGAAACUGUUGUAUACCGCGUACAAUACGACCAGCCAUUUAC